CCACAAUUGGACGUUAACUGUUAAUAAUAAGUGAUGUUGACUGUCAACUUCAUGAAAUAUGAAAUGAAUUGUUGUUUUCAUUGACCAAUCAGAACAUGACACGUAUCAAUCAUCAUCC
rfam:Glycine soja cultivar W05 scaffold1271_10, whole genome shotgun sequence.